rnacentral:rRNA from 1 species
UACGAAGGGGGGCGAGCGUUGUUCGGAUUUACUGGGCGUAAAGCGUGCGCAGGCGGUUCGUUGUGUCUGUGGUGAAAGCCCCCGGGCUUAACCUGGGAAUGGCCAUGGAAACUGGCGAGCUGGAGUGUGGCAGAGGGGGGGUGGAAUUCCGCGUGUAGCAGUGAAAUGCGUAGAGAUGCGGAGGAACACCGAUGGCGAAGGGCAGCCCCCCUGGGUUGACACUGACGCUCAGGCACGAAAGCGUGGGGAGCAAACAGG